UUAAAGUAUUGACAAUUUUUCAUCAAGUGUGUGAAUAUUUUUGUUCUUUUUUCAAAAAUUUCUCAUGAAUCUUAUGUAUUUGGUUUAAACCAGAGUUUAUUAUUUUUUAUUCCAAGUUACCAUUUCCUGCGAAACGUGCGAUGGCAGCGCCACCAUACGGUAAAAUACGUAAUACACGUCCUACGAUUCUCAAACGAAAUCGAUAUUCGUCACGAUCGAUUUUUCAACAUGGGCACGGGCAACAUGGCGGAAGAUAGCAUCACACCACUUCUGUAAAGAAAGAAGUAUUACCCAGCAAAAUCACCCAGAAGGAGGUAUCGUCCAAAAGUUCUCGGGUAAAAGUACAAAUCAAUAGUUGUUAGAUUUGUGUAUGUAUUGCGUAUUUUAAAGAAUAUAAAUUAUAAAACGGGCAUUUUUGGCUUCAACUCAAGGUAAGAUUUAACUAUAAUUGUUACAUAUCAUUUUCAACAAUUCUAAUACUAAAUUCAACAAUAGUUUAUCAAGAAUGUACACAUUUAAUAGUCAAAGUACAAAUUUUAUUUAGUUGUCGAAUUUCAGAAAAUUUUUGUGACCGCGCGCAAUGCGGUUGGUAGAGUCAGUGUUUGUUGCGAAAUAUUUUUAUAUUUUUCUGAGCAAAAUGGCUCUAAUUAAAUAAACUAAUCAAUUCAUUCAAAUUAUAAUUCGCGAAGUUAGAGUCAGUGAGUCCACCGAUUGUUACUUAAACGCGCGCGUUGAUAGUCUUUCUGUUUUUGUAUUUUCUUCUGUUCAAUAUUCGUUUUCGCUGUUAGAGUCAGUGCUCAAGAGGAUAAGGCCUCUCCUGGAGAUCAAGAUCACGCUUCACAGCAUCAAGUUUUGCAUUUUUUUGGGGGGAAAAUCCAACGGUGGCUCUGAAGUCAAUAAUAUCUUCUAGAGUCUCCAUUUCCCCUGAUCCUGUAAGAAUCUUACGAUGCUCCGAAAGCUAAAGAUAAAUUUCUCACGGUGUUUACUUACACCAUGGGAUUCUCAAUGGUAUCUGCUCGAUGGGGCUCUUCACGAUAACUUUUCCUGCUCCGGUACAGCAUCGGUGAUAAUUUUCUUCACAUCUACCCCUGUUGCGUUUACAAAUUGCCCAUGUUCUUCCGCUGGAUUCGUGGAAGGCUCCUGAGUCACCUGAUGCACCUGCGAAAUGCAACUUUCAGCACAGUUGCAUCGGACGCGUCGCAAUUGCCAUUGCGUACUUCUGAAGGCAAGUAUAGACUAAUAGCGUACUUAUUUUCGGGAGUUUUU